AACGAACGCUGGCGGCAUGCCUAACACAUGCAAGUCGAACGAAGCCUUCGGGCUUAGUGGCGCACGGGUGCGUAACGCGUGGGAAUCUGCCCUUGGGUUCGGAAUAACAGUUAGAAAUGACUGCUAAUACCGGAUGAUGUCUUCGGACCAAAGAUUUAUCGCCCAAGGAUGAGCCCGCGUAGGAUUAGGUAGUUGGUGGGGUAAUGGCCCACCAAGCCGACGAUCCUUAGCUGGUCCGAGAGGAUGAUCAGCCACACUGGGACUGAGACACGGCCCAGACUCCUACGGGAGGCAGCAGUGGGGAAUAUUGGACAAUGAGCGAAAGCCUGAUCCAGCAAUGCCGCGCGAGUGAUGAAGGCCUUAGGGUUGUAAAGCUCUUUUACCAGGGAUGAUAAUGACAAUACCUGGAGAAUAAGCUCCGGCUAACUCCGUGCCAGCAGCCGCAGUAAAAC
rnacentral:rRNA from 1 species